AUUGAACGCUGGCGGCAGGCCUAACACAUGCAAGUCGAGCGGAUGAAGGGAGCUUGCUCCUGGAUUCAGCGGCGGACGGGUGAGUAAUGCCUAGGAAUCUGCCUGGUAGUGGGGGAUAACGUCCGGAAACGGGCGCUAAUACCGCAUACGUCCUGUGGGAGAAAGUGGGGGAUCUUCGGACCUCACGCUAUCAGCUGAGCCUAGGUCGGAUUAGCUAGUUGGUGGGGUAAAGGCCUACCAAGGCGACGAUCCGUAACUGGUCUGAGAGGAUGAUCAGUCACACUGGAACUGAGACACGGUCCAGACUCCUACGGGAGGCAGCAGUGGGGAAUAUUGGACAAUGGGCGAAAGACUGAUCCAGCCACGCCGCGGGUGUGAAGAAGGGCUUCGGAUUGUAAAGCACUUUAAGUUGGGAGGAAGGGCAGUAAGUUAAUACCUUGCUGUUUUGACGUUACCAACAGAAUAAGCACCGGCUAACUUCGUG
rnacentral:rRNA from 1 species